GCGCGAAAACUUUGCAACGCGGGAAACCGUGACAAGGGAACUCUGAGUGCCCGUUAAAUCGGGCUGUCCAUCGGUUUAAAUAACUGGUGAAGAAAGGGCCGGGCAAGACCGGUGCCAGCCGCCGCGGUAAUACCGGCGGCUCGAGUGGUGGCCACUAUUACUGGGCUUAAAGCGUUCGUAGCUGGUUUGUUAAGUCUCUGGGGAAAUCUUCCGGCUUAACCGGAAGGCGUUUCAGGGAUACUGGCAGACUAGGGACCGGGAGAGGUGAGAGGUACUCCAGGGGUAGGAGUGAAAUCCUGUAAUCCUUGGGGGACCACCUGUGGCGAAGGCGUCUCACCAGAACGGCUCCGACAGUGAGGGACGAAAGCUGGGGGAGCAAACCGGAUUAGAAACCCGGGUA
rnacentral:rRNA from 1 species